UUUGUAUGAUCUGAAAUGUCUGCAGACUGGUGUGAGCAGUGAGAAAGGAAAAAUCCACAGCAGUAUCCUGGAAAUGGUCCGGUGCCAUGGAUGAGACCGUCCAUCACUCCACCUGCCCUUACUGCCUCAUCUGGGCCAGAUUUUUCUGUGGCCUCUUCAUGUAGUCGAGCAGACAUAGUGAUAGCCAGAUUGUCCCGCACAUGUUCUCCCAGUCUCGCCUCAAGGUUGUGGGGUUUAGUGGUGUGUCUUCAUGGUCUUUCUCAUCCUCUGGCUCAACAACAUCCAUAUUGAGAAGAGUGAGAUUGUGAAGCACAGCACAGCAGAAGAAUUGGCACAGCUGCAUUGAGAUGGCAAUAGGAUGUGGGGUUCACCAACUGUAAAUACAUGAUUGUUAGAUCAAUAAGUUUGAAUAAAGCUGUUUCAUCUGUUGUUGACUUAUGUAUUUAUUAUGAUGCUUUUAUUCCUUCUUUGACUCAUUUAUUCAUGUUUUCUAUUGUUGUCAAUACAUAAAAUAUACAUAUAUAUUUUGUUAACUAAUGCAUUAAUUCAUUGCUGAACUGAAAACUGAUGUAUUCAAAUCAGCUGCAUUUGUGGAGUGCAUAUUCAUGCAUAGCUGUGUCAAAAAAAAGGUUAUAUAAUUAAUUAUUAGUUAGCAUGUAUCUUUAUUAUUGUGUGUAAAUGUUGGGGUGGGCUAGCAAUGCAGUUCAUUAUGGUUUUUAUCUUAAUUUUUAAGUAGUAAUACAUUUUUCAAAUGCGAGAUGUUCCAGCAGCUGCCUGAUGUCUCCUGUGUGCAGACAAUGCAAACGUGGAGGUGUGUUUUAACCGUACUUGGUAGGUCGGGUUGUUGAGUUACUGAUGCUAUGAGGUGUUAGUCCCUCUGUCACUCUUUUCAUUAUUAUUAUUAUUAUUGCUUAUAAUUACAUAUAAGAUUUGAAAAUAUGGUUGUACCUAACAAUGGACAACUGUAAUAACAAAAAGAAAAAAAAAAAAAGAAAACAAACA